AGUGAACGCUGGCGGUAGGCCUAACACAUGCAAGUCGAACGGCAGCACAGUAAGAGCUUGCUCUUACGGGUGGCGAGUGGCGGACGGGUGAGGAAUACAUCGGAAUCUACUUUUUCGGGGGGGAUAACGGAGGGAAACUUACGCUAAUACCGCAUACGACCUACGGGUGAAAGCAGUGGAUCUUGGGACCUUGCGCGAUUGAAUGAGCCGAUGUCGGAUUAGCUAGUUGGCGGGGUAAAGGCCCACCAAGGCGACGAUCCGUAGCUGGUCUGAGAGGAUGAUCAGCCACACUGGAACUGAGACACGGUCCAGACUCCUACGGGAGGCAGCAGUGGGGAAUAUUGGACAAUGGGCGCAAGCCUGAUCCAGCCAUACCGCGUGGGUGAAGAAGGCCUUCGGGUUGUAAAGCCCUUUUGUUGGGAAAGAAAAGCAGCAGGUUAAUACCCCGCUGUUCUGACGGUACCCAAAGAAUAAGCACCGGCUAACUUCGUG
rnacentral:rRNA from 1 species